rnacentral:rRNA from 1 species
UACGUAGGGGGCAAGCGUUGUCCGGAAUCAUUGGGCGUAAAGCGCGUGUAGGCGGCUCGGUAAGUCUGCUGUGAAAGUCCAGGGCUCAACCCUGGGAUGCCGGUGGAUACUGUCGAGCUCGAGUCCGGAAGAGGCGAGUGGAAUUCCUGGUGUAGCGGUGAAAUGCGCAGAUAUCAGGAGGAACACCAAUUGCGAAGGCAGCUCGCUGGGACGUUACUGACGCUGAGACGCGAAAGCGUGGGAGCAAACAGG